AAGCCAUAUGGAUAUUUGGUAUACAAACUGUGAUCUGACUGCAGUGAAGCAUAAUAACCAGCAGAUGACAGGCAAACAUCAGAAUCCUUUUGACAUCGAGGCAUCAGAACAAUGAAGUUUUGCAAGCAAAGGACAAUACCAAGAGAGACAGCAAGGAGACAGCUGAUUUACACUGUCGCAUUCUGAUUGCACAUCUCAUCCUUUCAUCUCCAAACAUCUUUCAGAUCUUUAUUAUGCAGGCAGCGGCACAUUGGCGCCAUAUGCUCAGCUAUUUCCAUCAAUGCUGCCAUUAAGCCUCUAUUUUGUUUCAUCUCUGUCCUGAACCCAGCACUCUUUUCUCCCAAACAAUGAAUAAUCCAUCCUGAUUGGCCAUUCUGGGGGGUCAUUAUUUCUGGGUCUAGGAUUUGGGACUUCUAUUUUACAUGUCACUGAAAUUCUAAUAAAAGCUUAUUAUAGCUUAUGAUGGGAUUUAUUUGGACAGCUAAAGCCAAAUACAUGAAAUAUGUCAUGCUGUGGGUUAGUCUUUUUAUAAUUGCAUUCAAAACUAUUGCUGAGACAUAAGACAGUUAUAUUAAGUCUGUGAUAAUAGUAAAAAGUCUGUUAGAAAAAGGCUUAUUGCUGCUGAUUUUCUUAUUAAAAUGUAUUUUUAAAUGUUUUACAUUUGUAAGUACAAAAAGAACAGUAAUUGUAUUAUCUGUCGAGUUCGAUUCAUUUAUUAAUUAGUGCUGUCAAACGAUUAAUCACGAUUAAUCGCAUCCAGAAUAAAAAGAAAUUGUUUAUGUAAUAUAUGUGUGUGUACUGUGUAUAUUUAUUAUGCAUAUAUAAAUACAAACAUAUGCAGU
rnacentral:lncRNA from 1 species